rnacentral:tRNA from 1 species
GCCGGGAUUGCCGAGUGGUCAAAGGCGACGGACUUAAGAUCCGUUCCCGUAGGGGUUCCGGAGUUCGAAUCUCCGUCCCGGCA